rnacentral:rRNA from 1 species
GACGAACGCUGGCGGCGUGCUUAUCACAUGCAAGUCGAGCGGGGAACUACGGUUCCCAGCGGCGGACGGGUGAGUAACACGUGGGUAACCUGCCUCAUAGGGGGGAAUAGCCUUCCGAAAGGAAGAUUACUACCGCAUAAUACUCGGAAAUAACACGAUUUCUGAGCCAAAGGAUUUAUUCGCUAUGAGAUGGAACCGCGGCGCAUUAGCUUGUUGGUGAGGUAACGGCUCACGAAGGCUUCGAUGCGUAGCCGACCUGAGAGGGUGAUCGGCAACAUUGGAACUGAGACACGGACCAGACUCCUACGGGAGGCAGCAGUGGGGAAUAUUGCACAAUGGGGGAAACCCUGAUGCAGCAACGCCGCGUGGGUGAUGAAGGUCUUCGGAUCGUAAAACUCUGUCUUAUGGGACGAUAAUGACGGUACCAUAGGAGGAAGCCACGGCUAACUACGUGCCAGCAGCCGCGGUAA